CUGUUGAUUAAUUAUGGCAUUCCUAAUAUGUCCUUGAGUGCCCUUCUGUCAUAUGUCCUCCAUAUAUCCUUCUGUCGUAUGUUUUCCAUAUGUCUUGUCACUAAUUAGUUUUCCAUCAUAUGGCUUCCAUCACAUUAAUUAGACUUCCUGGAGAAUGUGGCAGUUUUGCAAGCAAACGUGGACCUUUUGCAGUGGGCACAGGAACAGCUAUUUUGUACCUUUCAGCCCUUGAGCGAUGGAGCAAAAGGAGAAAGGAACAGGUGGAAAGGGGAUGUUUUUAAAAAGACAAGGUGUGCUAAGCCAAAAGGGGUUUUGCAUCCAAGGCCUAUGAGGCAGGAGGCUUCCCAGCAUCGCCCACUGACACUGGCUCCACCUGCUUUGUUGGAGAACUACUUAUCUUAAAGGGCAAACACUGUAGCAGGAAGAGCAGGCACUUCUUUGAUCCACAGACUCUCACUUGGUGUGCUCCCUGCCCUGAAGGAAGGGUGAAGCUCUUGAUUCCUCAGGCACAAGCGAAAGCGUCCAUGAGGGUCCCAGCUCUACUUAUGCAGACUCUGGUGUUCUGAGAUCCAGUUCAGUGACCUCCUACCUGCAAGACUCACAUGUAGUGGGGUCCUGGUCCAUAGCAUCAGCCUCAGUGCCAGGAAUCUGCUCCAGCUCCAAACAGAUGUAUGUGUGUGCAUUAUUCUCCCUGUUACCCUGGGCUGUUGCCUUCCUUACAUUGUAACCAUCAUAAUCAUUUAGGCUGAAAGUUCAUGGGUGCCCAGCCUGGUCCAUUAAGCAUCUCUGUGUCAUGUAUAGUGAUGAUACUAUUUGAUGAUCUUGACUCCAAACAUAGUUGCACAUAGUUCUUAUGGAAACCAAUGGGAUUUAGAUUAGUCCCAUUUAUUAAAUGGCUAUGUUCUACUUCCACUGUUGAAGACAGUAAAGCUCUGAAUACCAGUUGCUGCAACCUACAAGUGGGAAGAGUGCUGUUGCGCUCAGCUCAUGCUUGCUGACUUCCCACUGGGGCAUUUGGUUGGCCACUGUGAGAACAGGAUGCUAAACUGAAUGAGCCACCGACCUGAUCCAGCAGGUUCUCCUUAUGUUCUUAUGAAGAAAGCUAGGGGAAAGCCGGGAGGCUGGAUUGUCAUUAGGGAGCAAUGCACAGUUAAUUCCCUGUGCCUGGCUACAAUACAAAAAUUGCAGAAUAUAAAGUCUUUUAAUUGUCUUCUUAUAGAAUAAUUAAUGUCUUACAACCUACAUUUCAUUCCAACACAAAAAUACUUGGUCCUCUGUCACUUUUUAAACUGCCUAACUAUUUACCAGAUUUUGUUGUUGUUGUUGUUGUUCUCUUCUCAAUAGGAAAUUUGAGGCUGGCUACUUCAUUCACUCCGAGUGGAAGAGGCCUUGUUGCCUCUAAGAUGUCUCUGUGGCACACAAAACAUUUGCAAACUUGUCGCAUUGCAGAAACGCUUCAAGGCUGGGUUUCGUUACUUCCCCAUUUCUUAAUGGGGUGAUGUGUAUCUGAAAGCACCACAGGUAACUUGUGCGAUCCUCCAGUGAGAGCUGCUUGAAUGUUAUGGUCAGGGAUGGUGGUGGGCAUUUUUGGAUGGUCCAUAGCUCAGCAAGGGCCUCCUGACAAAAGGUUCCUGAACCUGCUGCAUUAUGGAGGUAGACUCACUGAGAGUGUGGUGCGUGGAGGAUAUCUUCUCCAGGAGCCCUCAAAAACUGAGUGACACUGUCCCCAGCACAAAACUCAGCUGAGCUAUGAAACUCCUGUAUAACCAUUGGAAAGCCAUCAUCUUUCUUCUACAACCCCCUCCCUGUUAGCUGGCUUGGGCUACUCCAGAUGCUUGGGCUACUCCAGAUGUUGUAGAACUCCAAGUUCCAACAUCUCCAGGUAGGGCUUGGAAAGACUCUUGUCUGAAACUCUGGAAAACUGUUGCCCAUCAGUGCCCUGAGCUAGUUGGACCUAAGGAUAGGAGAGAAAGUGGACUCAGUUUGGACUUGAAGGCAACAUACCUAAAUUUGCACUUCCCAAAAUAAUAUGCGAACCAAAACACAGAUGUCCUCUGAAAUCUUCACUUCUCCAAAUUUUGUGUUGCCGUUCCCUGACCGAUUAAUGUGCAUAUACUGGGAGAUAGUGUGCAUAAAUGCAUAUAUUAGUGAAAAAUAACUUUUAAAAAAUGAAUUCUGUUGAGGGGAAUUGCAUGUGAAAAUAGGUAAAAUUGCAUUAAAUAUGUGCAUAUGAGGAGAAAUUUGCACUGAACUCGGGCAGGAGCAUGAUUAUAUAAUUUAUAAAAGGGCAGUUUAAGUCAUUCUAUCCCAGCACACUCCAGUGUUGUCAUAUAAUAGCUGCCUUAGCUGCCUGCAAGCCAAUUAAGAAGUUCAAAUAAUCACUGCCACAAAUUCAUACUCCGGCUGCAAUCCUAUAUACACUAAGUCCAAUUGAGCUCAUUGGGGCUUGAUUCUGAAUAGACAUGCAUAAGACUGUACUUUAAGUUGUCAUAUACCAUGAUGCAAGUAUCAUUACCCUCAUCUUACAGACUGAAGGAGGCUUGGAGAACAGUCACUUAUCUAUUGAGUUUAGAUGGUGGAGAAAUUUUGUUUUCUGUUGCUCCAGAGAAUACAACCCAACAGGUUCAAAUUAUAAUAAAGGGAUUUCAGUUGAACAUGAGAAAGACCUUUCUGAUGGCGUGAAGCCAGUCAGCCUCCAAUGUGAAUGACUUUAAAUGAAGAUUAAACAAAUUCAUACAGGGCAAGUCUCUCAGUGGCAGCUGGCCAUGGUGGCUGUGUGUAAUGAAAACGGUGGAGGAGAAAUUCAAUUCAGUUCAUUUCUGGAGCCAAAUCUAUCAAGUUUGUACUUUCAAAGCUAAUAUGAUAACUGAAGUACAUCCUUCAAAAUCUGCACUCACAUGAAUUUUGUGGUGCAACCCUCCAGCUAAACAUUCCCCCAGAAAAUGCGUAUGUAGGGGAUAAAAGGUAAAGGUAAAGGGACCCCUGACCAUUAGGUCCAGUCGUGACUGACU